rnacentral:rRNA from 1 species
GACGAACGCUGGCGGCGUGCUUAACACAUGCAAGUCGAACGGAAAGGCCCUGCUUUUGUGGGGUGCUCGAGUGGCGAACGGGUGAGUAACACGUGAGUAACCUGCCCUUGACUUUGGGAUAACUUCAGGAAACUGGGGCUAAUACCGGAUAGGAGCUCCUGCUGCAUGGUGGGGGUUGGAAAGUUUCGGCGGUUGGGGAUGGACUCGCGGCUUAUCAGCUUGUUGGUGGGGUAGUGGCUUACCAAGGCUUUGACGGGUAGCCGGCCUGAGAGGGUGACCGGCCACAUUGGGACUGAGAUACGGCCCAGACUCCUACGGGAGGCAGCAGUGGGGAAGAUUGCACAAUGGGCGGAAGCCUGAUGCAGCAACGCCGCGUGCGGGAUGACGGCCUUCGGGUUGUAAACCGCUUUCGCCUGUGACGAAGCGGGAGUGACGGUAAUGGGUAAAGAAGCACCGGCUAACUACGUG